GUAAGCUGAGUUAGGUCAUCAGCAUCCAUGAUCUUGUUCAACACUUCUGAGCAUCGAGGGAAGAAGCGUUUCCCCAACUCCACUGCUCAAGCCAAACAAAAAAAGAACUUAGGUCCCAACUACUGCAGGCAUUUUUUAUCUAUUCUGAUACCAUCUGGAAUUUGGACUAUGCUUAAUUCAACUCCAAAACCGCUCAUAAGGUACAACAGUUUCAUGCGCAAAUCAUCCCCUGCCAUAGCAAGAGAAAGAGAUGCCUCUCCAAGUAAAGGCUCCCUUCUCUCAGCUUGCUCCAAUAUCUCUAUGCACAACCUGUCACUGCAUGAAACUUUUCCUUCCUCUGUGGACUUAUAAUAAUCCACAGCUUUGGUGAGACGUUUCGAAAUCUGAAGGGCUUUUCUUCCAUCCAAAGUGAGAUCAGAAGGCUGUGCCCCCUUAGUCAAGAGAGAAACUAUAAUCUUAGGCUCCUUCCUCAUUGCAGCAACAUGCAGCACACUAUAGCCCCUAUAGUUUUUGUGGUUCACAUCAGCAAGACCAAGAUCAAGAAGCUCAGUGGUGGUCUUCACAUCACAGUAUGCAACAGCAUAGUGGAGUGCAUAAGCAUCAUCAAGAGUUGUGUGUCCCUCUUUCAAAAGCAAUCUUACCAGUUCCACAUCGUCCGAAUCCAGUGCCCUGUGUAUUCUGUUGACAUGUUUGUCAGGAAAAUUGAAGUUUUCGGGCAUGUACAGGUCCAGUUCUAUUCGUUUAUCUGUGAUUUGCUUCACCAAAUGUUGAGGCAGUGCCUUUUCAAGAGUGGUGAUAUCAGCAUCAGAUUUAAGUAUCAUCUCAGUGCACCUUGCUAGUAGUCUUUCACACACUAUGCCACAUAUAUUUGCGACCGAUAGAACCACCAAAAUAUCAUCUAUUGCCACCUUUUCAAGAAUGUCUAGUAGAUGUCCCUGCAAGUAUAUCAAAUGAAUUUACUUACAGCAUUGCUGCAAAAGGCAAACAAAAUAUGUUGUUGUAUUGAACUGCAUAUUUUACAUUUCAUAAUUCAGCCUCUAAUGUUACUUGUAAUUGUAAA